rnacentral:rRNA from 1 species
AGAGUUUGAUCCUGGCUCAGAAUGAACGCUGGCGGCAGGCCUAACACAUGCAAGUCGAACGGAAACGACAGGAGCUUGCUCCUGGGCGUCGAGUGGCGGACGGGUGAGUAAGGCAUGGGAAUCUGCCCUUUGGUUGGGGAUACCGUAUGGAAACGUACGUUAAUACCGGAUAAGAUCUACGGAUGAAAGGUGGCCUCUACUUGUAAGCUAUCGCCAAAGGAUGAGCCCAUGUUAGAUUAGCUAGUUGGUGAGGUAAUGGCUCACCAAGGCGACGAUCUAUAGCUGGUUUGAGAGGAUGAUCAGCCACACUGGGACUGAGACACGGCCCAGACUCCUACGGGAGGCAGCAGUGGGGAAUAUUGCACAAUGGAGGAAACUCUGAUGCAGCCAUGCCGCGUGUGUGAAGAAGGCCCGAGGGUUGUAAAGCACUUUUAGUGAGGAGGAAAGGUUAGUCGCUAAUAUCGGUUAACUGUGACGUUACUCACAGAAAAAGCACCGGCUAACUCUGUGCCAGCAGCCGCGGUAAUACAGAGGGUGCAAGCGUUAUUCGGAAUUACUGGGCGUAAAGCGCGCGUAGGUGGACCGUUAAGUCAGUUGUGAAAUCCCUGGGCUCAACCUAGGAACUGCAUCUGAUACUGGCGAUCUAGAGUUUAGUAGAGGGAAGGGGAAUUCCAGGUGUAGCAGUGAAAUGCGUAGAUAUCUGGAGGAACAUCAGUGGCGAAGGCGCCUUCCUGGACUAAAACUGACGCUGAGGUGCGAAAGCGUGGGUAGCGAACGGGAUUAGAUACCCCGGUAGUCCACGCCGUAAACGAUG